ACACGACUACAUUAGACUACCCGGGUAGUCCCAGCCCUAAACGAUGCGCGUUAGGUGUAUCGGUGACCACGAGUCACCGAGGUGCCGAAGGGAAACCGUGAAACGUGCCGCCUGGGAAGUACGGUCGCAAUGCUGAAAACGUUAAAGGAAUUGGCGGGGGAGCACCACAACGGGUGGAGCCUGCGGUUUAAUUGGACUCAACGCCGGGAAGCUUACCGGAUAAGACAGCGGAAUGAUUGCCGGGCUGAAGACUCUGCAUGACCAGCUG
rnacentral:rRNA from 1 species